rnacentral:misc_RNA from 1 species
UAAAAGGCAUUGUCAUUCCAUUCAGGGGAAACUGGUCAACUCAUUUAAUCAUUCAUUGGUCCAGACUGUUGAUUUUAGAGUAAAAAAUAUUACAUAUAAGGAAAACAAUUAUUUACAAAAAAAAUAGCAUUGUUCCUGCAAUAAUGCCACAGUACAUAGGAAUUUUUUUUAUUUCAUUCACCGUAAUUUAUUACAUAUAAAGCAUUUUCGAUUGCCUCAGCAGAUUAUUUAAAAUUCAUGAUGCUUAGGUAGAAACUUAAAAUUAUAUAUCCCGACUGAUAGGAAUUUAUACUGUUAUUUUUUUCGUUUUCUUGGUAUACUUUCAUACUACUUGACUGUUUCUUUAUAUUAGCUUUGACAUAUACAAAUUUAUAUCAAUAUUUGUCUCCCUUAGCAUAUAAAACUGGUACCAAGCUUAUUCUUAAACUGGUAUGCCACAGUUUUGAUAGUCUACAGUUUCAGCUGAUUAUGUAUAUUUUAUGAAUACCCCCAGGGAGUGGUCUUCAAACCCGCCCCCUCCUCCCCCUACCCUGGUGUGGGGCAGUUGUUGUAUUGAUGUAAACUGUAUAUAUAUAAAGAGUACAUAGACCCUACAACUUAUUGACAGUCCUAAUUGUUAACUCUCCAAAAUGUUGUUGUCAAAAUUAUUGUGAAUCUUUGUCCAAAGAUUUUGUGUAAUUUUGUCAAUCGUUGUACAAAGUGAAUAUAAUCCUUGUCUCUCCAGCCUCUCUGUGGGAGUUCGCUGUACUCCCUGUGGUCUAAUGUAAGACUAGGCACAAAUACUAAACUGGAAAAACUCACUUAACUUGGUUAGUUAUACCAGCAUCCAGUGUUAACUGAUUUUUUGAACUGUCUUCAUAUCUUAACUAGCUUUUUAUAUAAUACAUGUAUGAGUGCUCUUUUUGUAGAAUCAUCAUCUGAAUACACUUUAUAAUUUGUUGUUUGAAGUUCAGCUGUUCCAAGUUCUAAGUCAAUUAAAAAGAGGAAAAAUAGAAAAUGUACAUAUUGAAAAUGAAUAUAUGUAUGUUAAAAUAAAUUAAUUCAUAUUGAAAUAAGAAGACAGAGUAUUUAUUGGCGGUUGUUCGAAUUACGCACUCGAAAGUAAGUUACAAAUGCCAGCGUUUCCCUCUUGCUUGUCUGCCUGUUCGGUUGUAUUAUGCCACACAUUUAUUUAUAUGAUUUUAAGCAAAAUGAUAUCUAAUGAAUUGUAAAUGUAUAAAAAUAAAGUGUUACGCUGUUUGAUUCAGACACUUGCUUUAGAAAACAAUGUAAAUAACUCCGUCAUUCUAUAAAUAACUAUCAUUCUAUAAAUAACUGUCAUUCUGUCGAAGCAUUGGUUUUCAUUGGUGCAUUUCCUGGAUGUUAUAAUUUAAUAUUUCAGACUGCAAUUAUGUGCUGGUCACAAUUUUUUGUCUACUAAUAAAAAGCAGAAGAUU